AUGAGCUAGACAGACAAGUGGGCAAAGAAAGAAUUGUAGACGAGUCAGAUAUUGAAAAGCUAGUCUUCCUCCGAGCAAUAGUAAAAGAGACAUUACGUUUAUACCCACCAGCACCAUUAUCAGCACCACGUGAAUUUAUGGAGGACUGCACCAUAGGAGGCUACCAAGUCCCAAAAGGCACCCGGCUGAUCACAAACACAUGGAAAAUCCAAACAGAUCCACGCAUAUGGUCAAAUCCGUUGAAUUUUGAGCCAGAAAGAUUUCUCACCACCCACAAAGAUGUUGAUGUUAGGGGUCAACAUUUUGAAUUGAUCCCUUUUGGAAGUGGUAGAAGGGCAUGCCCUGGAACGUCUUUUGCCCUUCAAAUGGUACACUUAGCCCUCGCCAGUUUUUUGCACAUGUACGAGAUUUCAACUCCCUCUAAUGCACCGGUUGAUAUGAGUGAGAGGUUUGGAAUAACAAACGUAAGAGCCACCCCACUUGAAGUUCUCGUCACACCGCGCCUACCUUCGGAGCUUUAUGGAGUAAACACUGUUUGAUGAAUUUAUAUAUUAGUGUUACUUAUUUAAUAAAUUACUAUAUAAGUACUGUAGUAUAAUUGAAAUGAUGGGUAGUUGUUAUUUCUGGACCCCUCUGGUCAAAUAUCGGGUGCUGGUUUCUGAACCUGGCUGGCUAAUUUUACCAUGAUACAUUGGACCUGAAGGAUAAGGACGACGUUACAUCAGUGAUGGAAGAAAGAAACAAAACUAUCAGCCCAGACGUCAUCCGACCCGCCACCAGUCAUCAUCAAAGAAACAAGCUUGAUUGCCGAGCAAAAGCAAGAAACUUCUCCCGUCGUAUAAUGGUCGCCCUAUCACAGGCCUAACUUUACAAACACUUUAAAGGAAGAAAAAAAAUCAGCCAAAGACUUUAAAGAAAGUUUGGCAAUGGAUCUACAAUGAUAUUCUUCA